rnacentral:rRNA from 1 species
GACGAACGCUGGCGGCGUGCCUAAUACAUGCAAGUCGAGCGGACCACUUCGGUGGUCAGCGGCGGACGGGUGAGUAACACGUGGGCAACCUGCCUGUAAGACUGGGAUAACACCGGGAAACCGGUGCUAAUACCGGAUAAUCCUUUCCUUCACACGAGGGAAAGCUGAAAGACGGUUUCGGCUGUCACUUACAGAUGGGGCCGCGGCGCAGUAGCUAGUUGGUGAGGUAACGGCUCACCAAGGAAACGAUGCGUAGCCGACCUGAGAGGGUGAUCGGCCACACUGGGACUGAGACACGGCCCAGACUCCUACGGGAGGCAGCAGUAGGGAAUCUUCCGCAAUGGACGAAAGUCUGACGGAGCAACGCCGCGUGAGCGAUGAAGGCCUUCGGGUCGUAAAGCUCUGUUGUCAGGGAAGAACAAGUACCGGAGUAACUGCCGGUACCUUGACGGUACCUGACCAGAAAGCCACGGCUAACUACGUGCCAGCCGCCGCAGUAAUAC